rnacentral:rRNA from 1 species
GAUCCAGACUCCUACGGGAGGCAGCAGUGAGGAAUAUUGGUCAAUGGCCGAGAGGCUGAACCAGCCAAGUCGCGUGAGGGAAGGCGGCCCUACGGGUUGUAAACCUCUUUUGUCGGGGAGCAAAGCGAACCACGUGUGGUUCAUUGAGAGUACCCGAAGAAAAAGCAUCGGCUAACUCCGUGCCAGCAGCCACGGUAAUACGGAGGAUUCAAGCGUUAUCCGGAUUUAUUGGGUUUAAAGGGUGCGUAGGCGGUCGGAUAAGUUAGAGGUGAGAUCCCGAGGCUCAACUUCGGGAUUGCCUCUGAUACUGUUCGGCUAGAGAGUAGUUGCAGUAGGCGGAAUGUAUGGUGUAG